AGAGUUUGAUCAUGGCUCAGAUUGAACGCUGGCGGCAUGCCUUACACAUGCAAGUCGAACGGCAGCGCGGGGGCAACCCUGGCGGCGAGUGGCGAACGGGUGAAGUAAUAUAUCGGAACGUACCAAGAGUGGGGAUAACGUAGCGAAAGUUACGCUAAUACCGCAUACGAUCUAAGGAUGAAAGCAGGGGACCGCAAGGCCUUGUGCUCCUGGAGCGGCCGAUAUCUGAUUAGCUAGUUGGUGGGGUAAAGGCCUACCAAGGCAUCGAUCAGUAGCUGGUCUGAGAGGACGACCAGCCACACUGGGACUGAGACACGGCCCAGACUCCUACGGGAGGCAGCAGUGGGGAAUUUUGGACAAUGGGGGCAACCCUGAUCCAGCAAUGCCGCGUGAGUGAAGAAGGCCUUCGGGUUGUAAAGCUCUUUUGUCAGGGAAGAAACGGUUGUGGCUAAUAUCCAUGGCUAAUGACGGUACCUGAAGAAUAAGCACCGGCUAACUACGUG
rnacentral:rRNA from 1 species